rnacentral:rRNA from 1 species
AGAGUUUGAUCAUGGCUCAGGAUGAACGCUAGCUACAGGCUUAACACAUGCAAGUCGAGGGGAAACGACAUCGAAAGCUUGCUUUUGAUGGGCGUCGACCGGCGCACGGGUGAGUAACGCGUAUCCAACCUGCCCAUCACUUGGGGAUAACCUUGCGAAAGUAAGACUAAUACCCAAUGACGUCUCUAGAAGACAUCUGAAAGAGAUUAAAGAUUUAUCGGUGAUGGAUGGGGAUGCGUCUGAUUAGCUUGUUCGGCGGGGUAACGGCCACCAAGGCGACGAUCAGUAGGGGUUCUGAGAGGAAGGUCCCCCCANAUUGGAACUAAGACACGGUCCAAACUCCUACGGGAGGCA